ACUCCUGCGGGAGGCAGCAGUGGGGAAUUUUGGACAAUGGGCGAAAGCCUGAUCCAGCCAUGCCGCGUGCAGGAUGAAGGCCUUCGGGUUGUAAACUGCUUUUGUACGGAACGAAACGGCCUUUUCUAAUAAAGAGGGCUAAUGACGGUACCGUAAGAAUAAGCACCGGCUAACUACGUGCCAGCAGCCGCGGUAAUACGUAGGGUGCAAGCGUUAAUCGGAAUUACUGGGCGUAAAGCGUGCGCAGGCGGUUAUGUAAGACAGUUGUGAAAUCCCCGGGCUCAACCUGGGAACUGCAUCUGUGACUGCAUAGCUAGAGUACGGUAGAGGGGGAUGGAAUUCCGCGUGUAGCAGUGAAAUGCGUAGAUAUGCGGAGGAACACCGAUGGCGAAGGCAAUCCCCUGGACCUGUACUGACGCUCAUGCACGAAAGCGUGGGGAGCAAACAGGAUUAGAUACGCUAGUAGUCCC
rnacentral:rRNA from 1 species